GCUAUUAAACACCAUAAUGCACCGCAAGAACGAGUUUACAUGUACAACCGAUGUUUACUUCACUCAGUGCGAGGGUCACGCCGAAUAAAUUCCCGCGUCUUUCCAGAAGAGCGAAAUCAUAGAUCGUUUUGUUGCUACCCAGAGCCGUUGAGAAGGCAUUUUCUGCCAAUUUUAAAGAAAUCAAUUCAAUUAUAAAAAUGAAAAAAUGUGCCAAAAUUGAACAUUAAAUGAAAAGAUAUCAUUUAAAUUUCAAAUUUCACUGUGACAACGCACCGUCCCUGUCAAAUUGAAAAAUAAAAUUAAUUUGGUGAUUUGACAUUUCAUUUUCACUGUAAUCUCGAGGCAAGAUGGUCAAUAUUGAAAUGGAAAGGCAAACGUGAAAAGGAAAAUGCAAAUACCUUUUUUAAAAAGCCUUUUACUAAUGCUCACGCAAUAAUACUGACACAAUUCAAAUUAAAAUGUAAAGUUUAUUUUUCAUUUACUUUUAUUUCACAGUUUUCAUUUUCGUACGACAUCCCAAUAGGCACUAAAGAUGCAUCUUCGAAAAUGGUUUUACUGCUCAAGAGAUAGCGAACUUAUUCGGAGUAAGCAAGAUAACCAUCGGACUGAGGAUGUGAGGGUUUCUGAUCUGUAUUCAACCACAAGUGAUGCAGAAGUUGACAGCACCAUUGAGGAAAUACCGAGAGUGUAUCCCAACACAGGAUACAGAAUAAUUCAUGGCCAUCUUCAAGCAAGAGGUCUCCAUAUUCAGAGUAACUACAACACACUAAUCUUAACAUUUUUUAUUCACAGUUAUGAGAAUAUGUAGUAUGGGAAUGUUGUUGAAAAUUUCCUUUUCUCAUCGGCUCUGUUGCUACCGAAGACAACCAGGUAAGCAAGCACUAUGUGAACUAUUGGCGGACUAAUAAGGAAUAGGCAAAGUCUGUCAACCUCGGUCAACCUUGGUUUUACCACAAAAAAAAAAAAAAAAAAAAAAAAUCCACGUUAACCACAAAUUAACCAUGGUUUUG